GUCCACGCCGUAACGAUGAUUACUCGAUGUUGGCGAUAAACUGUCAGCGUCUUAGCGAAGCGUUAAGUAAUCCACCUGGGGAGUACGCCCGCAAGGGUGAAACUCAAAGGAAUUGACGGGGCCCGCACAAGCGGUGGAGCAUGUGGUUUAAUUCGAUGAUACGCGAGGAACCUUAUCUAGGCUAGAAUGCGCGUGACCGUUCCAGAGAUGGGACUUUCCUUCGGGACACAAAGCAAGGUGCUGCAUGGCCGUCGU
rnacentral:rRNA from 1 species